rnacentral:lncRNA from 1 species
CAAACUGCUCGAAUCUAGUCAAAUACAACCCAAUAACCUCAUAAAAGCCAUAAAAAUCAAUCUCAUAUAAUAAAAUUCAAAUCUUUAAUCAAAUACACAAAGUCAACCAAAAAUUUAACCCAGGCCUACUCCCAGGAAACCGAUAAAACUCACAAAUCCUAACUAUUCAUUCUAAUACGAGUCCAAAUUUAUUAGUUUCAUCCAAAAUCAAUUCCAAACCGGGAUUCAAAUCUCAUAUAUUCACUUUCCAAUCUAGCACAACCCCCCCCCCCCCUCCCCCGCCCAAAUUCCACUUUAAAAUCCAUGGCUUUAGGUGUAGAAAUCCAUAGAAAAACAGGAUAUAAAGUCAAAUCCAUGUGUAAAUUCCUUUUCUCCAAUUGAGUGGUAAAAUUUCUCUUCAAAAUCUUCCACUCUUGAUGUCUAGGGACCAAAAUAAAAUAAAAAGUGGGUAAAAAUCCCAAAAUCACAACUUAAUUAUUCUGCCUAGUGAUAUGUAUCACGAUCGCGACAUACCCUUCGCAAUCGCAAAGAUCAAAAAUCUUCCCGGCUGAAAUUCCACUUAGAAAGUGCAAAGUACCUCACGUGAAAGCAAUGAACCCACAAGCCAAGCCUACAAGAACACGACCCAUGGCCUGCGAACGCGAAUGCAACCAAUUUGCCUGAUGCCCAACCUUUGUAAACGUGGCCCCCUACACACGAAUGCGAAGCACCAAUACUCACCCCUCCAUGAAAGUGAAUCUAGUCACGCAAAUGCGAAGAGUAAAUCUUCGCUUACCAACUCCUCUAUUCCACGAUCACAAGACAAGCUCUACGAUCACGAAUGAAAACCACCCUAAAUCACAUCCGAGUCCUCCAGGACCCUGUCCAAUCAUGCCAACAAGUUUCAAUACCUAAUACAAACUUAUCCAAGGGCUUGAAACACAAUGAAUAACAUCAAAAUUAAUAAUAGUUAAUCAAAAUCCUUCUCAUAUGUUUCAAACAUUCAAACUUCUAACUAAACGUCUGAUUCAACUUCAUCCAAACUUUGCACACAAGUUUCAAAUGAAAUAACAAACCUAUUUCAAGUUCCGGAACAACAAUCCAAAUAUGAUACCAUCAAAGUCAACUCCCAGUCAAACUUAGGAACUCUCCAUACCUACAAGUUGCUAACUUUCGACAAAUAGAGCCCAAAUAUCAUAGGAACCUCUAAAUACAAAUAUGAACAUAUUCCUAAGUCCAAAAUUACCCUACAAACCUAUUGGAACUAUCCAAAUAUAGAUCCGAGAUCAUUUAUAUAAAAGUCAAACUUUGAUUAACUCUUACAACUUAAGCCUCCAAAAAUGAAACUAAGUAUUGCAAUUCACUCUCUAACCUUCCCUAAGCCAAACCAACCAUCCCUGCAAGUUACAAAGAUCAAAUAAAUAUACGGGAAGUAUCAAAUAGGAGAACGGGCUCAAGUUCAUAAAAGGACUGAUCGGGUCGUUACAAUCUAUUGCUAGAAAAAAAAAUUGACCACUCACAGGAUCAGAAUUGGAGAAAAUCAAUGGAUUCUGAUGGGGAGUAGAUAGCUAAGGAAGCAACCAGUUUCUUUAAAGACUUAUUCACUCAACCACAUUACUAUAAUGAUCUCAGUAAUCUAGCUUGCAUUAACAAGUUGAUUACAGAUAAAGACAAUGAACUACUCACUACAAGGCUUAUAGAGAAGGAGAUUAAAGACAUAGUCUUUAACAUGAAUCCAGAUUCAGCUCCUGGACCUGAUGGAUAUACAACAACCUUCUUUAAAGAGGCAUGGGAUAUUAUUUCCUUGGAUCUUACUAAUCUAGCUUGCUAUUUGUUUUUUGCAAUUCAUGAACUACCUAAAUACGUCACUCGCACUUGCUUGAUUCUCAGAGCUGUCACACUUUCUUUUUACACCCGCGGGGUAUAAAAGGGAGUUUUUCCAAUUAAAGUGACAUUAUUCGAUAUGUGAUUAUUUUAUUUAUUUUUCAGAGUCGCCAUUUAAAAUAAUUUAUUUGGUAUUCCAAGUCACCGGUUUAUUUUAAAUCCCAAAUCGAGGAAAAUCUGACUUUAUUUAAAAAUCUGCGAAACCAAAAAAACUAGGUAAGGAAUUCUGUUAACCCGAGAGAAGGUGUUAGGCAUUUCCGGGUUUCGUAGUUCGAGCACAAUCGCUUAACUAUUAAUAAUUGGCCUAAUUAUCUGAUUUAUUAUAUGUUUUAAACCUAUUGUGCAUUUUUAACUUUAUUACCGCUUUUAAUUAUUUUAACCGCUUUGUAGGAUUUAUGGAAUUAUUUCUUGAACAAAUUACGAUUGUCGUACACUUGCCAUUUUGGAACACACCGCAAACCACGCUACAUGAAAUGCACUCACGAUUCGCGAUAUGUUUUUUUUUAUUAUUGUUCGAAGUUGUUAUGAUCGGAUCACAUAAAAUACACACCCGAAUUGGGAAUUAUGUAUCACGACUAUACCACGGGAACCAUACUCAUAGCUGUAAUAAUUUAAUUAUGCGCCUAAAGCAAACUACGCAUGUAAUGAUUGCAAACCUUCAUUAUAUGGCUACCUAGCACCAAUUACCCAAAGUCACGUUAGACUAGGUAUAAGUGAACAAAUAAUGCAAAUCCACGACUUUAAUAAAGUAAAUUUAUUUUUCCUUGGUGUUAAAAAGGAAACAACCAACACAAUAGCUUUUGACAUGUACAGGUAGGUUAAUAUUACAUAAGCAACAAAACAACAAUUUCAAAUCUAGGUGUGGCCUAAUUUGAAUUUUGCUCAAUAAAAAACAAUAAGUUGCAUCAAUUUAACUAAUAACCUAUUUGGUCAAGCUUCGUUUUGGCCAAAAGUGUUUUUUUUGGUAAAAAGUAUUUUUGGCCAAAAAUUGAGGUAUUUGACCAAGCUUUUUGGAAGGAAAAAAGUACUUUUGAGGAAAGCAAAAGCAGUUUUAGAGAAACAGAAAAAAGUAAUUUCUCUCCAAAAGCACUUUUUUGAGAAGCACUUUUGAGAAAAAUAUACUUAUAAGUAGUUUUUUAAAGCUUGGUCAAAUACUAAUUGCUGCUCAGAAGUGUUUUUCAAACUAAUUAGCCAAACACAAACUGUUUAUCACCAAAAAUACUUUUGAAAAAAGCACUUUUAAAAAAACACUUCUCAAAAUAAGCUGAUUUUUGUAGCUUGGCCAAACAGGUAUAAACCAUAUGACGAAACAGUAGAGUAAAGACAUGGGAAAGGAACUAGCUACAGAUAAAGGUAAAUGACACAUGUUACAAGCCAAAUACUAGUACUGGUUUUUUUUUGUGCCAUACUGCCAUACAUCAUAACAGAUGAAUCUUGGAGUUUCCUUUUUGAUAAUUUCUUAGUACUUUUAUCACUACUGUUUGAUCUGUACUAUUCUAUUUUCUCAAGUUUAGCUUUGUACUAAUAUAACGUAUUUUUUCAUUUGAUUUGUUGUUUGGUUGUCCACAAAUAUAUGAGCAAAAGGAAUGGAACAUUCAUUUCUAGAUUUUGUUUCGCUGCUGGUGGAAUAUGCUUAGUCGUUUUAGAAUCGCUGUAAGCUCAGUGAUUUUUUUUUUCUUUCUCAGUAGAGAUAUAUCACAAGGCAAGAUAGUAGAUUAGAAAUUAAUGUAGAAAAGUCAGUUUUCAAUUCGUAACUUCUUAAACAUUGCUCAGGAUCCAAGUUGCAACAGCAUUUAGGAAAGACAAACAUUUCAUUUGGGAUACAGAGAUUUUGAAAAUAUGAAAGCAGAAAACAUACCGAUCAGCUCUAUCGAACCCAAAUCUAGCACCAAAAAUAAAAUGCAACGGAAAGUUUUCUCUGGGUCACAUUGUUGAUAAAAUUCUUCAAUACUUCUAUGUUUCUUCUGAGAAUUUUUUCAGAUUCUUUGGCUAAGUGGGGAUAAGUAGAGUAUGAGAGGCAUGAAAAUGGGUCUAUAUUUUCAGGUCUCCUUCUUCCGUCUUUUCUGAAUGAGAGUCUGGUUUUUUGAGGGAGAAGAAGAGGGAAUGAGAAGAAAGGGGAAGCUGUGCUAGGUUUUUUUCAGCUAAAGGGGGAGGGUCCAAUUCUUUCAGAGAGGUCUGUUUGGAGGAGAUGAUGAUGAAGAAACCAGAAACGGCGCUAGGGUUGGGGUGUGUGUUUUACUGAAAAAGAAAACGAGUGAAAAAGGUGUCGGUGAUCAAAUCCCAAUCAAAAAAGUGGCGGCUAGACAUUCAGGGAAACGAGGCAUAAUGAAUAACUUUAAGCCACAAGAAGCAAUGUCAAAACCAACUAGAAUUCUUAGGAAUGAGACCAAAGAGCAAUGCGUCCCCUCUAAAAAUGAUGUACCCCUGGAAUAUAUGAGAGUUCUUAGCUAAAUUCCAGGAAAAUCACGUGAAAAGUGGAGGAGAUGGAUGUGCAUUGUGUUUUUUCGUUUUAGUAAGGUGGAAACGGCUGGGAGCUUUUUUUUUGCCUUAGGUUCUCCAAUGUUCAAG